rnacentral:rRNA from 1 species
GGGUUGUGAGGUUAAGCGACUAAGCGUACACGGUGGAUGCCCUGGCAGUCAGAGGCGAUGAAGGGCGUGCUAAUCUGCGAUAAGCGCCGGUAAGGUGAUAUGAACCGUUAUAACCGGCGAUACCCGAAUGGGGAAACCCAGUGUGAUUCGUCACACUAUCAUUAACUGAAUCCAUAGGUUAAUGAGGCGAACCGGGGGAACUGAAACAUCUAAGUACCCCGAGGAAAAGAAAUCAACCGAGAUUCCCCCAGUAGCGGCGAGCGAACGGGGAGGAGCCCAGAGCCUGAAUCAGCAUGUGUGUUAGUGGAAGCGUCUGGAAAGGCGCGCGAUACAGGGUGACAGCCCCGUACACAAAAGCGCAUGUGCUGUGAGCUCGAUGAGUAGGGCGGGACACGUGGUAUCCUGUCUGAAUAUGGGGGGACCAUCCUCCAAGGCUAAAUACUCCUGACUGACCGAUAGUGAACCAGUACCGUGAGGGAAAGGCGAAAAGAACCCCGGCGAGGGGAGUGAAAAAGAACCUGAAACCGUGUACGUACAAGCAGUGGGAGCACCUUUGGGUGUGACUGCGUACCUUUUGUAUAAUGGGUCAGCGACUUAUAUUCUGUAGCAAGGUUAACCGCAUAGGGGAGCCGGAGGGAAACCGAGUCUUAAUUGGGCGUUAAGUUGCAGGGUAUAGACCCGAAACCCGGUGAUCUAGCCAUGGGCAGGUUGAAGGUUGGGUAACACUAACUGGAGGACCGAACCGACUAAUGUUGAAAAAUUAGCGGAUGACCUGUGGCUGGGGGUGAAAGGCCAAUCAAACCGGGAGAUAGCUGGUUCUCCCCGAAAGCUAUUUAGGUAGCGCCUCGUGAAUUCAUCUCCGGGGGUAGAGCACUGUUUCGGCUAGGGGGCCAUCCCGGCUUACCAACCCGAUGCAAACUGCGAAUACCGGAGAAUGUUAUCACGGGAGACACACGGCGGGUGCUAACGUCCGUCGUGAAGAGGGAAACAACCCAGACCGCCAGCUAAGGUCCCAAAGUCAUGGUUAAGUGGGAAACGAUGUGGGAAGGCCCAGACAGCCAGGAUGUUGGCUUAGAAGCAGCCAUCAUUUAAAGAAAGCGUAAUAGCUCACUGGUCGAGUCGGCCUGCGCGGAAGAUGUAACGGGGCUAAACCAUGCACCGAAGCUGCGGCAGCGACGCUUAUGCGUUGUUGGGUAGGGGAGCGUUCUGUAAGCCUGCGAAGGUGGCCUGUGAGGGUUGCUGGAGGUAUCAGAAGUGCGAAUGCUGACAUAAGUAACGAUAAAGCGGGUGAAAAGCCCGCUCGCCGGAAGACCAAGGGUUCCUGUCCAACGUUAAUCGGGGCAGG